rnacentral:rRNA from 1 species
AAAGAACUAAUUAAUUAAAAAAGUUAUUGUGGCAAAACUAUUUUAAAUAAUUAAUUUGAAAUGAAAUGUUAUUCGUUUUUAAAUAUAUCUAGUUUUUUCAGAAAAAAAUUUAAUUUUAAAUUUUUUUUAUGGGUAAAAUUAAUUGAUUAAUUUUAUUUAAAUAAAAUUUUAUAUUUUAAGGGAUAAGCUUUAAAUUAAAAAUUUAUAAUAAUUAAUUUUUAAUUGAAAAUUUUAUAAUUUAGAUUGUUAAUAAAAUUUAAUUUAUUAUAAAUAAUUUCAUUUUUAAAAGAUUUAAUAUUAAUUUAAUUUUUUAUGAAAAAAUAAAUUUUAAUAAAGAAAAAUUUAAUUAUAAUGAUAAAAUUAGUAUAUUUAUUAUAAAAAUUUAUUAUUUAAUUUAAUUAAUUAAUAAAAAGGAAUUCGGCAAAAAUUAUAUUCACUUGUUUAACAAAAACAUGUCUUUUUGUAAUUAAUUUAAAGUCUAAUCUGCCCACUGAUUUAAUUAUUAAAGGGCUGCAGUAUAUUGACUGUACAAAGGUAGCAUAAUCAUUAGUCAUUUAAUUGAUGACUUGUAUGAAAGAUUGGAUGAGAUAUAAGCUGUCUCUUUAUUAAUUUAUAUAACUUAAUUUUUUAAUCAAAAAGUUAAAAUAUUUUAAAAAGACGAGAAGACCCUAUAGAGUUUUAUAAAUAAUUUUAUUAAAUAUUAUUUAUAAAUAUUAAAAUAAAAAUAAAAUUAUUUAUUUUGUUGGGGUGACAGAAAAAUAAAUAAAACUUUUUAUUGUAAAAACAUAAAUAAGUGAAUAUAUGAUCCAAUAAUAUUGAUUAUAAGAAAAAAUUACCUUAGGGAUAACAGCGUAAUUUUUUUUUUUAGUUCAAAUAAGAAAAAGAGUUUGCGACCUCGAUGUUGGAUUAAGAUAAAAUUUAGAUGCAAAAGUUUAAAAUUUUG